rnacentral:rRNA from 1 species
GGCUCGCAAGGCUAAACUUUAAAGGAAUUCAUCGGGGACCCGAACAAGUGGUGGAGCAUUUGGUUUAAUUAUAAAGAUACGAGAAAAAUCCUUACCAGGUCUUGACAUACCAAUGAUCGCUUUUGUAAUGAAAGCCGGAACAUUGGAUACAGGUGGAACAUGGUCGUCGUCAGCUUGUGUCGUGAGAUGUUGGGUUAAGUCCCGCAACGAGCGCAACCCUUGUUAUUAGUUGCCAGCAUUUAGUUGGGCACUCUAAUGAGGAAAAUUGUGAUAAACCGGAGGAAGGUGGGGACGACGUAAGAUCUUCAUGCCCCUUAUGACGUGGGCAACACACGUUCUACAAUGGGAAGUACACCGAGUUACAAACCGGCGACGCAAGCUAAUCUCUUAAAACAUGUCCCACUUCGGACGAGAGUAAGCAACUUUUCUCCCAGAAGGCGGAAUCGAUAUUAAUCGCGAAUCAGCAUCAUGCGGUGAAUAAUUCCUGGGUCAUGUACACACCGCCCUUCAAAUCAUGGGAGUCCGAAGUACCCAAAGUGGCUUGGCUAACUUUCAGAGGAAGGUGCAUAAGGUAAAAUCG